rnacentral:rRNA from 1 species
UACGGGGGGAGCAAGCGUUGUUCGGAUUUACUGGGCGUAAAGGGCGCGUAGGCGGCCAGCACAAGUCAGUUGUGAAAUCUCCGAGCUUAACUCGGAAAGGUCAACUGAUACUGUGCGGCUAGAGUGCAGAAGGGGCAACUGGAAUUUUUGGUGUAGCGGUGAAAUGCGUAGAUAUCAAGAGGAACACCUGCGGCGAAGGCGGGUUGCUGGGCUGACACUGACGCUGAGGAGCGAAAGCGUGGGGAGCGAACAGG